GGACUUGGCCGCGCUGUAGGCCCAGAAGGGAAGGGUCAGGAGGAAGAGGAUGUCUGCCACCGCCAGGUUGAGCAGGUCCUGGAAAGAAGCAGCAUCAGAAUGCAGGGCAGCCCCUCCCACCCCCUGUCUUGGCCCAUCUGGGCUGCUUCUUGGAGCUGGGAAGUCUUCUCUAGCCCAGACCACCCCUCAAGACUGAGCUUGGUUGGUGGGUCUGAGUGCCCCCUCCCACUCCACCUGAUGUGGGAUGAGGCGGCAAAGCUAUGAGGUCGUGGGGUAGGUGCACACGUUUCCAGCCCUGCUUUGGUGCUGGUAGCCACUGGCCCAGGAGCAUUUUCCUGGCAUCCAGGUGAGUGCGCAGCCACACGUGCAUGAAGCCAAGCCUGAGUGUCUCCUGAGGGAGGUGGGCUGAGGAAGGAGGAUGACCUCACAGGCUGGGUAGAGGGAUGAGGUUCCUUACUGGUCCACAGCGAUGGAGACUGCCUCAGGGCUCCACCAGCUCCACAACACCCCCUCACUGAAAUGACAUUCAUUCAGCACUGACUGUUGGUCCACUGGGCGCACACCCUUGGCCUGCCUUUGGGACAGAGAUCCCUUCCCUUUUAUCUUGUGCAGGCCCAGAAUUGAGGAGGUGCCCCACAAUUGUGUGCUGAUGAAUAUAUGAAUGAUAAAUACAUGAAUGAUGAAUAAAUACAUGAAUGACAAGUAAACGAAUGCCUGUCCUUUUUCCAAGGGAGAGGGCAUCAA
rnacentral:lncRNA from 10 species